UAGGGAAUCUUCCGCAAUGGGCGAAAGCCUGCCGGAGCAACGCCGCGUGAGUGAUUAAGGUCUUCGGAUCGUAAAACUCUGUUAUUAGGGAAGAACAAAUGUGUAAGUAACUAUGCACGUCUUGACGGUACCUAAUCAGAAAGCCACGGCUAACUACGUGCCAGCAGCCGCGGUAAUACGUAGGUGGCAAGCGUUAUCCGGAAUUAUUGGGCGUAAAGCGCGCGUAGGCGGUUUUUUAAGUCUGAUGUGAAAGCCAACGGCUCAACCGUGGAGGGUCAUUGGAAACUGGAAAACUUGAGUGCAGAAGAGGAAAGUGGAAAUACAUGUGUAGCGGUGAAAUGCGCAGAGAUAUGGAGGAACAACAGUGGAGAAGGCGACUUUAUGGUAUGUAAAAGACGAUGAUGUGCGAAAGGGUGGGGAUGAAACAGG
rnacentral:rRNA from 1 species